UACAGAAAAAAGGGGAAUUACAAAUGACAUCAAUUGACAUCAGCCCAAUUUAUGUACUAUCACCUCCUCCAUAAAUCAGUUUCUGCAGCACGAUUGGACAUCAUUUGUUUCUUUCUAUCAGUUUUAUACAAGUGGUUCUAAGGUCUGCUUGGCCUUUCCACAAUAUGCUGAUAUUUGACUACGUGAAGGCACAACACCAACAGUGAUUUUUACAAGUGGCUAUAAAACGUAUUGCAUUGGCAUGAAACAAAGAUCCUUCGACAAGAAUUGGGCCACUUUUGCAGCCGAACAUGUUUUUUGCCCUGGAGACAUAUUGCUUUUUAUUCCACAAUCGCUCAUCUCUUUUGGUGUUAUCAUAUUCAACAAAAAGGGCAUUGAAAAACUAUAUUCAUGGCAUUUUAAUUUCACUAUUCAUCUAACUUAGUCCAUAUUACCAAGUACUGCGAUAGUCUUAGAGAACAAAUUGUAGUUGAUAAGUACUAGAACUAAACUCUUAUGUCGCUUCCCAUUAUGUAUCUUGCUCCAU